rnacentral:rRNA from 1 species
AGACACAUACACAGGUGCUGCAUGGUUGUCGUCAGCUCGUGUCGUGAGAUGUAAGGUUAAGUCCUUGAACGAGCGCAACCCCUGCCCUUAGUUGCUAACAGGUAAUGCUGAGGACACUAAGGGGACUGCCGUCGACAAGACGGAGGAAGGUGGGGAUGACGUCACAUCCUCAUGGCCUUUAUGUCCAGGGCUACACACAUGCGACAAUGGUGAGGACAAUGGGACGCAAAGGGUAACCCGGAGCAAAUCCCCAAAACUCACCCCAGUACCGAUUGAGGGCUGCAACCCGCCCUCAUGAAGCUGGAGUUGCUAGUAACUGCGGGUCAGCCAUACCGCAGUGAAUACGUUCCCGGGUUC